UCCGAUUUACACCGGCGGUCUCCUGUGAGUUCCCAUCUUUCAUGCUGGUAACACAGGACGAGGGUUGCGCUCGUUGGCGGACUUAACCGUACACCUCACGGCACGAGCUGACGACAGCCAUGCAACAAGUGUCUUCACGUCUCCUUGUGGGAGAGGGCCCCUUUUCGGGGGCUUACGAUCGAUGUCAAGUCUGGGUAAGGUUCUUCGGUUAGUAUCGAAUUAAUCCACAUGCUCCACCGCUUGUGCGGGUCCCCGUCAAUUCAUUUGAGUUUCAACCUUGCGGCCGUACUCCCCAGGCGGGGUACUUAAUGCGUUAGCUGCGGCACUCAGGGGGUCAAUACCCCGAACACCUAGUACCCAUCGUUUAGGGCGUGGACUAC
rnacentral:misc_RNA from 1 species